rnacentral:lncRNA from 1 species
UUUAGUUUAGAUUUAGUUUUAUUUUUAGUUUUAGUUUUAGUUUUAGGUUUAGGUUUAGGUUUAGGUUUAGUUUUAGUUUAGUUUUAGGUUUAGAUUUAGUUUUUUCCUUUUUUUCUAUUUUUUUAGUUUUAGGUUUAUGUUUAGUUUAGAUUUAGUUUUAGUUUUAGUUUUAGUUUUAGAUUUAGGUUUAGUUUUAGGUUUAGGAAAGAAGAAGAAGAAAAAAAAGAGGAGAGGAGGAGAAGAAGAAGAGGAAAAAGGAAAGGAAGAAGAAGAAGAGGAGGAGGAGAAGAAAAAAGAAGAAGAGGAAGAAGAAGAAG